AGACUCUUCAUUGCAAAGAGGGAUAUUACCAUAAAUUUAACCGUUAUUCACCAUGGAAUAUAGAAGAAAUUGAGGUGAAGUGUGAUGAUGGAGAGUUACAGUAUGGAGAACACAUACCUAUAUGUAGCCAUCGUUAUUCAUAGGUAGAUGAUGAACAUAAUGGAGUCAUGAUGUUCCCUCCAUCAAUUUCAAGAAACCUUACAAAGCCGCCUUUUUAUGCAAGGAGAAGACCCAUUUGCUUUUGUGGUGUCUGUCGCUUGUUUAAUUUAGAUUUAGAAGAAAUGUGAGCCAUCCAGUAAUGGAAUACAUGUGUCUUUUCAACAUUUGACAUUGUAUCAUCAUUGAAACAAAAUAACAGUAUCUUUCAAAUCAUAUCAGUCUCAGCUUCACUAUAAUAACAGUACAGCUAUCUAAAGCUAGACUAAAAUGGUACAUUUGUUGUAUUAGUACAAAGUGAUGUGAUUGUGUGAAUAUCCUUCUAUCAAGUUUAUAAAUUGCUUGGCUGGGCUUAUGAGACAGU